rnacentral:lncRNA from 1 species
GCGUAUGGAAGCGCGGGAGCGGAGGCCCAUGCGCCACCUUUGUGCAGGUGGUUGUGUGAUUGCCACGUCGUGAACGAGCUGUACGAGCCGAACGGCGGCACCGCCGUCCUCGCGCCAGCUGGCCCCCGCCGGCCGCGACCAAUUAGGGAUCGCUUCGGGAACUCAAGGCUUCUAGAUGAUCGAUCCAGGAGAACGUUUUCCAUCUUGCUUUUGUCGAUCUAUAGAACAAAAGCUUCUUGAUUAGGUAGUAUUUGCGCUGUUUUGCUCAAGAAAGACAGGUUUUCGAUAUUGAUUGCUGAAUGGAAAAGGAAGCGCUCCCUAAAAAGAAUUCAGGUGGUUAGGAGCUGAGAGAACUCGUAUUAGUUUGAGAGGAAAUCUGCAACAGGAGAGCUAGCAAAAUCCUUGGGGAAGAAAAAACAGCAAGGAUACUAGGAUGGAUCGAAGGCGUGUUUAGAUCGAAGAAGAAAGAAAAGAACGAAGAGAACCAAAGAGGAAGAAGCUAUAUCUAUUUUUGAGGAGAUGUUAUCUUCCUCCUGCUGCUAUCUACUCCAGUAUAGAGAGCGAGGGAAUGGCCUCUGCACAAAGCCCACCCUCCACCUCCGAUCCGGG